GUCUGGUCGGAAUGUAGUGGUGUUUACACCUAAUUGAUCACAACUAGUUACAGGUUUCUGGGUUCCUUCUCCACUCCCGCUGCUUCACCUGACUAGCCUAUA
ensembl:Y_RNA Y_RNA Y RNA